rnacentral:lncRNA from 1 species
GUGAGUAGCGGCGGCGGUAGCGCGGAGCGGCGGAGCCGGGCGGCCUCGCCCUGCCCUGCGCUGCCCCGGGCGCGGCACCGCCCGCCCGGCCCCAGGUGUUUGUUUGAAUACAUAGAAGAAGAUGAUGACAAGCGUGCCUGGACAAUUCUACGUAAUUAACACCUGCUAGAUGUGCAAAAGGCAAUUAUUGCUGUGAAGUGUUUACAUUGAUUUAUGGGAGGAAGGUGGCCCAAGAGAGGGAUGCUGAUAAUAUCAACCCAGUGGAUUAAAUGCACAUUUACACCUUUAUUGACAUAUAAAUUAUCCAUGCCAGGAACGCACUGAAACAGCUGCUGAUGGAGCAAUAAUGUGGCACAAAGUACUGGGUUUGGAUUCAGCUCUGUCAUCCUUCUGUAAGGCACGGCAAUGGGAUUCUGCAUCUGAACUCAAAUAGGGAGCAGAGGCUUACAGACUGGCUGCCUGUUAGUAUAAUGAGCAGUGAUGGCAAGUGAGAACUUGGAUGAUAAAAAACAUGGCUGAGGUCUGAAGGAGUUCUCUUGCUAUUUUUUUAAAUGACUUUGAGGUUUUUGUUGUUGUUCGUACUAUGGAUUUUUAGAGAAAGCUGAGAGAGGCCGGAGGAGUGUUUGUAGCUGGGAAAUGGAACCUGGUUCUGAAUCCAGUCAGCAUCAGAAGAGAAAGCCGGUGACACAUGGACUGGAAGAUCAAAAAAGGGUAAGCGACAAAAGGCAGAAGGCUUCUGCUUAAAUUGCUGCACGAGACGUGAGCGGCAGAAGAGCUUCUUGUAACUCCUCUGUCAAUUAGAGUUGCUGCUAACUAUGCUCAGCCGGCUGCAGAUCUCUUUUCCUUGUUAGAUAUUUUCACAAAAUUGUUGUCUUCCUGUCCGACUCGUUGCAGCGUAUGAAGCGUAUUGCAAGGAAUGCUGUAGCAUGAGUGAAGGAAGGGAGAAAUCCCCAGAAUGUUGGAUAGCUGUUGAUGGAGAGGCUUAUAAUGAAAUGAGGUCUAGUGACUUUUGCUAAGUCUGGUUAGAUCAUUGAUUUGUUGUGGCUUUCCCUCUUGCUGAUAUCACUAGAGAGGCUAAAAAAUUGCUUUCUUGGGAUCUGGCCAGUAAAUUCACUGAAAAAGUGGCAUGCUUGUCAGUGUCCUGGUUGUCCUGAUGAUAACGUUAUCAUUUUCGUGUAGUUUCCAGACGUGACUCUGACUUGAAACAACACAAAACACAUGGUGGAACAUAGGUAAUGUCAGCUGGCAGAGCCUAUUUUGCACAAGGGCUUUGUGGAAGCCUUGUGUGUCGAAGUGGUAUUGUGUUGUUUAAUGAUAAUUGAUUGGCUAUGUGUAUUAAGUUGACCUAAGUGAAGUUGCCAUCUUGGGAAGAAUGUGGCUUGCAAACAGCUGAGACUUCAAAGUUGUUUUCUUGGCACGAGUGAAGCAAACAAUUACACUUGAAAUGCUUGUACUGUAUAUAUAAUUUGUGUUGUUUUCCCUGAGUGUUUGUUGAUUUAAAAACAAAGAAACCCAGUCCCCCGUUUUUGGCUCUGUGGGAAGAAGAGCUUCCUUUUUGCAUAGAUGUGUGUGAUUUUUAUUGCAUUUGAAAUGAGCUGGAAGCAGAAAUGACCACUGGCUGUUUGAGGUGGUGCCGAAUAUUGGUGAGGGGAGCUGUGUGUCACAACUUCUUCAAGUCUACUGCAGAACGAAAGUGGUUUUUCUGUUGCUCUGUUAGAAAUCAAAACAGCCUGGAAAACUUGCAGAUAGGAGAUAAAAUGCAGCUGUUCCUUAGAUUUAAGAAGCACAACCAACUCAAAGCCCAAAAUGUAUUUCUGUUGUGCCAAGCACAAUCUAUUAGCUGAUAAGCUGACAAGGUCUUCCUUCUGCUUUUUCGGGGAAGUGUUUUGGGGCCAAAGUAAAUCAAUAAGAGCUGAAAUAAAAUCCUUCUAUUGAUUUCAUUUCAGAAAGCUGCUCCUAUUUUUCCCCCCCUCCUUAAAUAUACAACUGUGUACUGCGUAUUGUGUGCAGUGGGAAAAACAUUUGGGACCUGAGACACCGAAGUAUACAAUAAUUGUCCUGAUGCAUCAAGAUUAAUACGCAAUUAUGUCUGCCUCUCCUUGCUGAUAGGGAUAGAAGCCUACAUCUCCCAUCUGCUCCUGGCUCUGGGUAUUUGGUGCACAUGUAGUAUGGGGCCUCUGAAAGUAUAAUAUAACCCCAAGUGAGGCUCGGUGGCAGCUGGGAUAACAUCAAUUGGUCAUGCUUUGCUGACAUUCAUUUUAACUCGAACUCUAGCCGUCAUGGAGAUUAUUAAAUUUAUAAUGAUAUAUGUAAGAUCCAUUUUAAUGACUCUUCGUGCUUGGGUGAUCUCUCUCUCACUUCUGUUUGCAAAACAAGUCUUAAUAGAGUAUUACAUUUCAUUUCCUAUUGAAUUUUCCAGGGAAAUAUUACUGAGGAAAGCUUAGCUUAGACUCAUGUUUACUGGGAAAAAUGUUUUUGGAAUAAAAUGUUGAUGCAGCUUGGCUGUUAUUGUGGAGUUGAGUAGUGGUAUAAACUGUGAUGUUCUUAAGCUUCAUGUUCUUUGAUUUCUGAUUGGAAAAAGUGUGUGUGUGAUCCAGGGCCAUCAGAGUUAAUCACCGGCAGGCACUUCUGGUACUGAAAAAUAAGACUUGUGCUGGAAGGAAAUGAGAUCAAGCUCAUUUUAAAUCAGACAAACGCUUUCUUUUAUGGUGAUAUAUUUUAUGGGUAUUAAGUCAACCUUUCUUUAGUAUUUUUGAAGUGCCAAGAAAUCUGUGUAUAUAUACCAGCCAGUGAUGAAUCUGGCAUACCUCAUGUAAGCGAAAUAACACAGAGCUGGGUUGGCAUUUGUGGUAUAGAAAUAAAGUGCUUCAUUUUGCUUUUUUUUUUUUCUUGUAAGCAUAUUGCUAGAUUUCUACAUGAUAUUCUAUUGAUUAGAGCAAGAUAACAUUUAGUAAUUGUGUUUAUUGCAUAGUGGCAUGUAGCCUUGCUACCUGUUUUGUCUGGUCUCUGAGAACUAGAAGUUGGGCUGUUGGAUGCUGCUGAGAUCAGGAGAAGCAAUUUCUUCGUGCUUUCUGUGCAGACUUCAGAAGGGCUCUAACGUUAAUGUUCAGGGUACCGUGGCAUCGAGCAGCACAACUUUUCUGGCUCUAGUAAGAAUUACAAUGCUGCACCCCAUUCAACUUGUAAUAGAGCAGUACAGAACUUUCCCCAAGCCUGCAUUACUGUACAUGGGGAAGCUGAUAUGUGGCUUUUGGAGGUCUAGCUGGUGCUUGUGCAGAUUGAUGGUUUUUGCCUCUGUCUUCUUGUAAUGAAGCAUGUAAAUCCCAUACCUAACUUGUUAUCCAGAUGCAUAUACAUGGCUCCAAAACCAGAUGGAGUACGUCUGGAUGGGUUGUGUGAGGGAGGUGUGCUGGGUUAUUAUCAUUAUGUUUUUUUCAGUAGACUCUUUCCAGACAGGUAUUGCUGAAGGAGUCUGUCCCAGUGUAUUCUGGUUGAUGAUAAUUGUGCGAUAUCAUAAGAAAGAGAUACCUCGAGAGCAGAUAACGAAGUUCAAAUAAUGACUUUGCCUGAUGUGCAGAGGCUCUCUCAUAUCUGUCAAGUUGUGUUGAAUGACACAUACAUCAGAGUAAAUCUAGCUUCAAAGAAUGUGUUGGAGUGUUUCAGGCUAGGUGCACUGGCAUGCUUCCAUCCUCUUUUUGCCUGGGAAUGCUAGAUUAAAUUCUCUAAGUCAUUUGGUUGAUUGAAAGACUUAGUUUUUUUUGUUGUUGUUGUUGAACAGGGUAUAAAUAACUAACAAAAUCCUGUGUUCACCAAGACACCUCUUCAUUUCCCCAGCUUGAGUGAGGCUGGUUAAGUUAAAGUAGCUUUACCCCACUGAAGAAUUUAUACCAGGCUCUGAGGAAGUGAAAAAUAUCGGUGUAUCAGCGCAGCAGCUUUGCAAGAAUGUAGCAUCCCCUUCUAGACCGUGUGGGUGCCUUUUGAAAGCCCUGACUCCCGAAGCCCUUCCAUGUGUGAGCAGUCCAACGUGAACUGCUGAAUUUCUUCAAGUCAGUCCGUGCUGCAAAAACGAGCUGUGUGUGUUUGUCCAUUGCACAAAGCAGGUGCCUGUCAUUGCCUGUUAUUUAAAAGAUACAAGUAGGUAAACCUUAGAGGUUGCUUUUAAUUAAAGUAUCUUUAUAAAGCAGGCGUGACUUUCAGAUAACAUACACUAGAACUCAUUAGUGUGUAGGUUCCUGCACGAUCCUUUAGAAAUAUGUUCAUUAUUAUGCAAAUGGAUAGCCCCUGGCCUUGAAGUAAUUGUACAGAAUAAAAUCUGGGCCACGAUAUUCUUCAAACCCUAAAUAGCCAGGAACCUCAUAUUGGACAGUCAGAUAUUGCUUGUUGUGAUGUCUGUGCCUGGAAGCAAGGUUGAUAUCCCUGAGGUCUGCUAUCUAUUUUGAUAUUCCUGCUGAAGGAAGCAGUAAGAAAGGCAAAGGGAAUGGAAAGGAGGGGGAAGGAGCGUGGAGGAAAUAACCUCUGUGAUAAAACUGACUUAUUUACUAAUUUAAUGCCUUAUUGCAGGGCUAAGCUUACCUCAGGGGCCUUGCAGAAGGGGAGAGGCAUUAGAGAGACAGACAUGUAUUCAUCAGUGUUUAUUUCCAUGCACCAAGUGUUGGGGUUUUCUCUUUACUUGUCUUUUUCUCUGAUGUGUUAUAGUUUAGUUGGGCAGCUGUGUUGUAAGGUCACCUAUGCUUGCAAAUUGCACCAACUCUUAAAUAUUUAAGAAAAAGUAGUAGUGGCAAUGUGGAGUAGCAGUAAAGCUAUUGUAUAUUCUUCAACAAAGAGAUUAAAUUUGUGUUGUCUGUAGUACUGGAUCUACAUCUUCAAACAUACCUAGUGAUGCAGUUUGCGGCUUUCUAAAAUGUUUCAGUGCAGACAAAGGAGUUUUGUUAGCAAGUGUGAGAGACGUGUUUCCUAGCUACGUAGUUCUCUUGGAGAAGCACUGUCUAUCUGUGAAUGAAUUUAAGUUCAUGUAUUAUUUUCAAAGGAUUGCUAACAAGAAUAUCUAGAGCAAUACAACCAAGUAGUAAAACAGCUGCAUUACAGGUGAAAGCUGAUGAUACCUUUAUCUCAGGUUGUUCGAGGUUACUUAUGUCUACCUUGGUGUCACUGGUGGGAAACUGCUAGACUAAGCUAUGUUAACUUAUUCUUCCAAUCUGAAAUUUGAUUGUGAAGCAGUAUCUUACUGCUCUUAAUGUUUUCUGUAUCAAGCUAUAAUUUCCUUUUUCUUUAUUUGCAGAAUAAAACUGGAAGAAAUAGUACAUCUGUAACUCCUUCUCUUUUUUCUUUCUUCUCCUCUUUUCCUGCAUCACUUUUCCCCAUGAACAGUUCACUUGUAUUUUCUCUUUUUCUGACAAUGAAGGGUAGCCCAGAGGUAGGACAAGGCAUGAUCGUAGAUGAUAAUGAUAUAUAUAAUGCACUACAGGAGAGGUUGAUCUGGUGCACGUGCCUAGACUUUUCUUCUGUUCCUUCAACAGCCUGCUGCAGCUUCUGAUGGGAACCAGACCUGGCUUUAGGAGCCUGAGUUUGAUGGGGAGAGGCUCCUGAGACAUUCCUAAAGCAGUAACAUUCAGUGAGAGAAUGGGCUUUAUUCUCUCCUUAACAGCAAACUCAUUCAUCUGUUAGAAAGGAGCAAACUGACUUGCACGUGAGCCUGUCCUUGCAGCAUUAGGCAAAAAUAGCGUGGUACUGAAGACUGUGAUUCCUCUUCGUGCUAACUGGAUGUGAUGCGUGGAUGUCUCUUGAGGCUAUCACACGUUGAUGGUAAUAAAUAUGUACUCAGACUUGUGUAGCUAUUUUUUCAGUGUUGUGCACUUAAAAAGAUGUACUCGAGGGAGCUGAGGGGCUGGGGAAUAGCUUCCAAGGCUGGAUAAUAGAAUAAGUUGAGAUAUCAGUACAGAAGAGGUAAGCUUGUUAUGGAAAAACCUCUUAAAUAGGUGGCAAGCUAGAAACCUACGUGCUGCAAGCAGUUAGCUUGCACCAUGUUUGUUUAUUUUCUGAAGUCUUUCAGUUCUUCGUUGUGAUGACAGCAGUGACUAUCAGAUCUUCAGUAACUUGGAGGAUUUUGAAUAAACAACGUGCAUCUGAUAGGAGUACUCAAAAAAUGUAACGAGGCAGAUGGAAUUGCCUGUGUUAUUUGGGUGUAUUUCUCUGAAUUUCCUCAAUUCAAAUGUCUCUUGUUGUCUUCAUUGGUUUCUCUGUAUUAUGUCAAAGUAAUUAAUUUUUCAAAUAUCUUUGACUUACUGCUGUGAUAUUCACAACUUGUGAGCUUUCCUUGGGCACAGUAGGAAUGAGAGGCUACAGACCAGAACACAAAACUGCAAGGCUUUGGAUAAGGGAAACUGGAUUGUAGUUAAACUCACUGGGAGACUGGCAGGAACUGGGCUUCUGUUUCGUUCUGUUCCAUUGGCCCACAACAUAAAAGCCUAGCCAGUGUGAGUUUAGUUUUUGAAAGAGCUGUGCUCUUUCUGCAUCAGCCAGAGCUGAAGACUUGAUCAAAAUCAAUAUAAAAUGCUAGAAUGAGUGGAAGUGGCAUUGGUUAUCUGAUAGUUGCAUGAAACUGUGCUUUAAUGUUAAUUAGGCUGACAGCUUAUGUGCCAUUAAAUGCAGAAAAUCAUCAGCAAGCACCAGGAGGGAUCUUUCUUGCAGUCGUGUUUAAUUAUUGAUGGGUUUAGGUACCUACUCCUCUCUGUUGCUGUGAAACUCAUGUUAAUUUCGUGUGCUGUCAUAGUGCUGAAAAGCUGUUUGUGCCAUGACCUGGGUGCUUUAGUCCUGGAGUUUCUGGUUUCCGUGAUUACAAUCUUUUUCCCUUGGAAUUUGCCUUUCAAACCUGCAUGGUUUCACUGAAUGUGCUGACCUGGGGAGCUGAGGCUCAGCAGCAGGAGUAGCUUGUCUUUAAACUCCUUUUCCUUUAAGCUCCUCUCCUUGACUAAAUAAAAGGAAGAUAAGUUAUACUACUUAUGUGUUAGGACUGGAACAAAAUCUUCAUAAAUAUUUAUCAGGUAAGAAAAUAAAUACAUGGAUGCAUCUCUUUAAAGUCAAAUCAUAAACAUAAUAAUCAGCUGGCAGAGGAUGAAAGUUGGGUACAGGGGACGUUUUUCACCUUGUGUAGACUCUGUAUGUGCUUUGAGUGUGGUGCAGCGUGUUGAGACAGUAAGCUGGAUGGAAGCGUGCAAAUACGGAGACUCUGUAGAUAGAUGAUGACUUUGGGAAGAGGAUGGAACACUAAACUUUGGGGGCAUAGGGUCAAAUAUCAUCCAUGUUCAGUUGCUGAAUCUGAAGUGAAGGUGGUUACAAUGGAAUCCAAAUGAGGGUGAGCAUACCUGACAGUUACAUGACUGUUGAUCCUAUAACUGGGGAGGCAGCGCUGUUGAUGGAAAAAGCUACCAAGUAGAAAUCUGCAUGGUUCUCCUGGCAUUCCUGGCCCUCAGUAUCUUUCUGUGGGAAAGCUCCUGAGAUAAUGUAAAAUACUUCUGCCUACUGGACUUCUCUGUUUCUAACACAGGAUAGGAAUCAUUUCGGAACGCAGCUUGGAGUUUCCAAAUGAUGGGUAUGAGUGAAGAUAGCAAAAAAAAAAAUCCAAGUGUGCUAGUAUAUAUUGUGGCAAAAAAUGUCCUAAACACAAUGUCUUGUUGGUGGUCUUCUGUAACUAUUCUGUCUUGAUUUGACCUGAGGAUAAUGUAUUUUCAGCUCAUUGUGGUAGCUGUUGAUUGUUUUCUGUGCGUCUGAGCACCUAUUUAAAGAGCAAUAUACCAAUUCCUGAUAGGUCCAGUGAAUCUGGCUGGCCUUCUGGCACUGUGAGUCCAAGGUCCCCAUCCCCUUUUAUUUCUUCUGCCUUACCGUGAUGAAUCUUGACUAUGUUUGUGAAGUAAGAGCUGAUGGAUACAAAGUGCAGAAUGACUACUUGAUAAUCAUGGCUUUGGUCCUACAUUUUUUUGAGCCUCUUUGAAAAGGUGCACCUACAAACUGAUUAAACAUGCUGGUUAAUUUCUCUUACUCGGUGUUUUUUCAAGUAAGCUUUUAAUUUAUUUCAUGGUUUCGGAUGGGCAGGGGCAAUACUGUAAAGGUUUUAUGCAUCCUUCUAUGAACUACAGUAGCAACUAAGCUUGCAGCUGCCAUAGUAAGCCUUUUCAGUAAGCAUACUUGCAAUGUUCAAAGCAGAGAGAAUUUAUUUUUCUCUUUUUGUGGGGAACAUGGUUUAAGUUGGAGGGUUAAAGCUAACAGAAUGGUUAACAAAGGCAGGUCUCUUCUUAGCUCUUCUGGGAGUUUGGAAUAGCAGUUUCUUCUGUGAGAAAAUGGUGUGCUGAAAUUUUUCUACUUCAAGUCAAUUCCUGUAAUGAAGAGUAGUGGCAGCUUUUGUUGCCAGUUAAGAUUAUUAAUCUAGAUUGUUUUUUACAUCAUUACAGCUGACUUAGAAUCAUAGAAUCGCUAAGGUUGGAAAAGACCUACAAGAUCAUCCAGUCCAGCUGUCCACCUGUCACCAACAGUUCUCUCUAAACCAUGUCCUUCAACACAACGUCUAAAUGUUCUUUGAACACCUCCAGGGACUUCUAUCAUCAUAUCUAUUCUUCAAUAAAUAAAACGUGGGUUCCUACUUAGGAUUUUUUGGUGGCAUUUAAAUAAUGAGAGCAGUCUGACUUCUGUUUAAUGACUGUCUGAAGACUUUUUUAAUAAUGUAGUGUCUUUUCUGCAGAUAGUGUCAAAGGUAAAAUAAAAUGACUGUGUUUAAUAGGCUGGUUUUAUGAUUCUAUGAUUCUUCAACAAAUAAAUCAAAAUAAAAUUGUAGACUCCAAGAUCUUAACAGUUGUGGGUCUACAGUCUAUGCACGUUGUCAGUCAUAUUGCGCUGCAAUGUGUGCCAUGUAACUGUGAGCUUACUACAGCUACAAACCCCCUUGAAUUAAAGGCUUUCAUCAGGCAGACCUCAAGCAUCUGACACACUGCCUCGUAUUGAACUCUGGAAGCCAACAACUGUUCAUAACUAUUGGCGAUAACUUAAUAUCCAUGUGUUGUUUUUUUUUUCUUGGCUACUUUCCCAGAUUCCAUAGUGACGAGUAGUCAUCUUUGCAACCUUUCACAUUGUUGGCUGUGAUUAUCAAUGUGUUGUGCGUGCUUUCACUGCAUCAAAUACCAAUUUUUUGUUAUUAGGAAAAGAAUAUCUAAUUAAGGAGCUAAUGCAAUUCAUUUUACACACUGUAAUUUAGGUAUUGCUUUUGGAAAAGAGUAAUGAGUGGUAGUGUGCUGUAGGAUUUUAUAACGUUGUGGGAGUAGAAUAUUAAGUUGUUAAUUUCAUUGAUAGCAGCUUCCUAUUAUAGUGGCUGAAACAUGAUCGUAUGAACAUAGAAGCAUAUUGAAAAAGAAAUUACCGUGAGGAAGAAAAACUUUACAGUCAGUAGAUGCCUCAUAUACUCUUUUUAAUGACAGAUAGCAAGAACUUGUAAAAAAAGAAAAAGCAAGGUGACUAUAGUUCAGAAAUCUUAUUUUUGUAGGCAAAACUGCAUGAAAUUGCCAGCGUAUGCUGAUAAGCACAGAAUGCUAGAUGCUAAUCUUUUAGGCAUUGUGUAGGAAAUGUAAAACUGAUGAUUGGAAGUUGAGAUGCAUAGUAUUAUCAUAGUCGGGUACCUUUCAUGUAAUUACACUUCAUUCAGUUGCUAUAGUAUUUCUUUUAUUGAUGACACGUAACCUGAAGCUGUGUUUUUUUUCCCUUUCUGAAGGUGCUGGAGCAGAUUGCACCUCAGGGUAUCUCCGCAAGAUAAGCAAUAUCUAGGAUGUAAAAGAACUGAGCUGUGAGUUGCUAGGUCAUCUGUAAUGAAUUUCCACACCAGAAUUUUUAUGAAACAAAGUUAAUAGCUUUUCUGCUGUGUGCAUAAUUGUCUUCUAAACUUCUUUACCUACUGGAUUCCUAGGGAUUUUUAGUGUUUUGACAUUUGCACUGUUUGUUAAUGCAGAACCUGUAGUUUCAUGGGUUAGAUAAUAUCUGUGUACAUAUUAAUUUCUAUUCACGUGGCUAACGCCUGACACAUUUAAUGGGUAUUCUCUCUGGUUUGUGUCACGGUGACUUCAUUAACCAUGUUGAAUUAUGCUGUAAAUGUUUUCUGGGCCUGUUGCUUUUAGUGCUCCAUGGGGAAUUUGCAUUGCAAUUGAUAGGGAUCUGAGUGCAGAAAAGCUGCUUGAGUGGGCAUCAUCUGCUAUUUCAGGCAGGCAAGCUUCAGUGGUAGGGGGAGAUAUAUAUAUGUGUGUCCCCUAUACAUAACUGCUAAUGUACUGUUGGGGCAAUCAGAGGGACAAUUACUUUGGGGACAUACUGGUUAGGUGAGAGAGGGGUUGUGUUUACUUUCCUGCAGUGGAGAUUUUUCUAAUCCAGAAAACCUCCAGAAAACCAACUGAGAAAAUGCAGAAACUUUUCAGUAGGAUGGAAGGAUAUGGGAUAAAGAUGGGAGGGAUGUAAGGGCCGUGAAACAGGAUUGUGGCUGAGAAAAGACAGCCGUGACUUUCUUUUGCACAUUCCUCUCUCGUGUUUUGAGCCUACUUCAAAAACCAUACUAAGCUGACGUCUUGUAAAAGGUUGUUCUAACUGUGCUGGGAUACGUGCUCAAAUAAAGCUGGAGAAAGAAAGGAAAAUGCAUUGCACAGAGGAAUGAGGUAGGGGUCUCAUUAAAAAGGAUGAAAUUAUUCACUAUUACAUUGAGCGUUUGGUUGUGAGCUGUAUUUCAAAGUGUAUUCAUGCAAGGAGAAGGAAAAACUGUUCAGGUGCUGAACAGCUUGUGUCUGCAUUCUGUUUUAUUCCACAGCCUUCACCCUUCUAUAUGUCUAAAGAGAACAUAUGAUGUCUGGGAUGAGGACUCCCUCAUCUCUCUGUGGAAAGGCACCCAGCACACUUGUGCCAUCGACACACGGUGAUGAUUUUUGCCACGGUCUUUCUGUCCGUAAAGAUCCACUGUUGUUUUUGUGAUAGCGAUACUCUGCGAUCCUUCCUUUUCUGUUGAGAAAUGAGGAGCAAGAAACUUGGCCCAGAGCUGCAGUUUCUGGGUGUGCUGUUUCCAGUUAUCUGCAUGAGGAAGGUGAGCUGUGCUCACACUGUAUUGCACCAGCAGUCCACCCAGGGCUGAGAAAUGAAGCACAGCAACUGGUGGAAAAGAAAGGAAGAAGAUGACUAAUUGCUUCAGUAGUUGACUUUCUGUGGAUGGAAGGAGUUUGUAGUCUUUUCACAACUGAGCUUGUAUUCUUGUAUGUUACUGGAGGCUGCUAGUACUCAUGGUAAGGCCAGUGUUAUUUCCCUGAGUACUUGUAGCUCCUGUGUGAGAGUCAGGCUUUGCCUUUUCUACCCUGAGUUUCAGUAUGUGAUCCACUGAACACCUGUUGGUUUAAGUUCUGGUGAUUACGUUGUUACACUCUAAAGAAAAAUGAUAUUUUCUUUUCAUUUUGGGCCUUGAAUAAGGGGCUUUAUAAUGCACCAUAUUCCUUCUGGACUUGUACUUGAAGUACCCUUGCAACUCCACACCCAGUGUAAGAUCCUACAGUAUGCAGAGAUAACACUGAGGAGAGCAAUGUGCAGGGCUUUGGCCACAUGCUUGCUGAAGACUUGCUCCUCUGCAAAGAAGAAGAUGAUUUGCCAGAGAAUGCCAGGCUUUUCCAGGGCUGUGUUUCCAAAGAUGGACGUUUUCCAGCAGUACAGUUGCUUGCUGUUAAGAACUUGGAGGUGAGGACUGAGGCACAGAAUAACAUGAAGAAUCCUGUGAUUUUUCAACCACAAAACACUGCAACGUUUUUCUAUCAGAAACAUUCAGAUUUCCAUCACAUUCCUUAGAGAGGGAUGCUGUUUUGCACAGGAACAAAUCUUUAAGUGGUUUGGAAACCAGAACUGGCCAAUCUUACUGCCUAAGCAGAUUGCUCCGUGGUCACAUUGCUUCAAAUAUGAUGUGAGGAGGUCCACUGUUCUUGUCCUUUGCAGAUUAGUAGCUUGGACUGAAAUAUUCCUACUGAGUUGAAAAGAUUCUCUAUCCGUGAAGGAAUUGCUAACCUGUGAUAUUGAUUCCAACAGUUUGAAAAUAAUAAAAAUAUAUUUGGCUUCUCAGUGCAUUCUUGAGGUUGGUGUGCUGCUACUGGAAGACGAGCAUGGCUGCUUGCCAAUCUGACCCUUCAGGGUCACCUUACAAACGUAUGUGCAUUGCUGUUAUUGCACAAUGUAAGGGAAUCCCUUCUAGUACCGUGAGCUCGGCUGAAAUGCACGCUGGCAAGGGCGUGAUGGACAGGACAGGAGCUGGAGAAGAAUAAGUCUUAUUAUGGAGGGUUUUUGACUUGCUUAACCUGUGUGGUUGGUAGCUGAAAUACCUGUCUUAGGCCCAGAACAGCCUGUAUGACUCGUCCUUGAAUAUGCAUCUUGAAAUGUAGACAAAAAAACUGAGUCUUUUAAUGAAUGCAGGCUUUGAUCAUGCACUGUCAUAAUGUUCCCCACCAGACGCCUGUGGCUGUGCUUUGCUGCUUUAACAUGCGGUCCUCACUCCUCUGUUGUUGAGUGAUAAGGUCUGGAAUUGUCAAAAGGCCAGACAACAUUGCCACAAUUGUACAUCGCUAGCAGAUAGCCACAAAAAGUAGUUCCUGGGCCAUCUGUUGGGCUUCUUGGUGCAGAACUCGGAUGUUUUGAGAUGAAGUUAGAAAUUCUAACCUUCAAAGUGUUUUUUUAGAUUCUGUCUUAGUUUUACUAGAUCACUUUUCUAGGGUUUUGAAUGAUGUUAAUAAGCAGUUCUGAGCAAAUAUUUUUUGAAGACUUGGUUUCUGUGAACCUCCAUGUUUUCCAGGAGUUGGAGUAUGAAUACUAGAAGACUUUCUGUCCUAUGAUCAUUGCUGGAAGUUCCUUUAUUAAUUUAUUAUUAUUCAGGGGGUGAACCAGAGAGAGAAUUAGUGGGGAUGUGGUCCAGAUUUUCAGGUUCCAGCUCUUCCGUGGGAAGGUUGCUCAAUGUGAAAUAGUAUUAGCAUAUAGCUCAAUGUAAAGCCUUGAGUUCACUGUUUGUGCAUACUGUGUGCCAUAGGCUCUUAAGCAAAGUAAUAAGAAGCUUGGGUUAAAACAUCAGUGUGCUGUGCUAUGAUGAGUUUAUGAGGGCUCACUCAUACAAAUGUUUUAGAUCAAUAUUUUCCUUAUUGAGGUCAUCUAGGUGGUAACAUAAGGUUUAUUAACAGAGGAAAAUAGUAAGCAACUCUUACAGAUAUUUCCCAGAAGUAUGUUGUGUGUCCUUAAUGUUUUCACUUCAAAUCUAAGGCAUAAUAAUUCUCAUACAGCUCUGAAUCAGGCAUGGUGCCGGCCAAAGUGGAAGUGGAGCUGUGCAGUAAGUGCAAUUACCUGCAGAUGUGGCUGGCAGUCUGUGCGUUGAAAUGCAUCUAUUUCUGCACGUAUCGAUGGAAACAUGCAUGAUUCAUGAGGAUGGGUCAGGGGAAAGAAUUAAACAGCCAAGUAGAAAAUGAAAGGGAUAUGUUUAUAGCACGCUGGACAGGGAUGUGUAUAUACACAUGUACUUCCAAAUUGUGCAAUCUAUAUGUAUAAAACACCCUAGUCUUUCAUAAAUAUUUGUAUGCUUAAGCCUAUCAUUUUGGUUUAAAGUAUGUAAUCUACCAUAACGAAUACAUUUUUAGACCUUGGCAGGCCUUGCCAAAUGAUUACUUUGACCAGCUGUUCUCACUACUGAAAGAGCUUUACAUUUAAUAAAUAAAUAAAAAUCACAGCCUGUUUCCUCGCUUGAGUGUCACUGGAUGACUUGGACAGUUGCUCUGUAAUUAGCUGCCUACUCAUUUUAAAGGUUAUAGUUGCAGUGAAAAUAAUGCAUUUGCUCUUUGAGUUGGUGAGGAGAAGGCAGCUAUCUGCAAUCAUGUAACCCAAUAUAGAUGUAAUAGACAAAUAUCAUCAAAUCUAGUAUUGUUAAUGUAAGUUUGCCUAAGUUUCUGCUGCACAGUCUAUUUCUUGAGUAUUCUGGGUAUUUAUUUCCAUUCUUUUUAUUUAAGGGCUGACCCUAAAGCAGAAUGUGCCAUGGAACCCACUUAUGUGAUAAAAUGCAGUGCUGGUGUGCUAUGACCUCUUCUUGAUUUGUAUUUGUCAGUGAGAGAUGAUGGGGGGUGAUUUUAGUUGUGGUUUCCUGCAAGUCUGUGGCUUUUGGAACCUUCCACCAUGAUAAAUUAAACCUUGAUUUUCAAUAUUAGCCCCAGCUGUGCUAGCGUUCAUUGAGAACAUGAUGAGCAUAAUUGGAAGUGUAGGGUUAACACUCCAUUUUCUAAGCUUCUAAUGAAGGUCUACUGUGUUCUCAGUGACCGAGAACAAACCCAAAGUUUAGAAGGUUAAAACAAGUUUUUUUUUGUUUUUUUUUUUUUAACAGCAGUCAUCAAUGUAUAUAGUCAUGUUGUGAAGUUUGUUUAUAUGAAUGUACUUUAAGUGACUGAGUUGGAGAAGUCUCUCUACACUAGGUCUGCCUUGGUAUAGGCACUUCAGGGCAAAGAAUAUUGGUGUGGUAACUUCCUAUUUCCAAAUAGUUACCCUUGUCUUCCUGCUGAUACUGAUUUUUGUUGCUGGUUUUUUAUUUAUUAUUUCUGGUGUUCUCUGUGCUUGUGUCAGCACAAGUAUGAGCGUUUCAGAUAAAGAGGGUUUGUGAGCAUCUUGCCUAUGGGAGCAUUGAUAGCUUUGCUAAUAGGGUGUGCGCGCCCUUCCUCUGGAUAGAAAAACACGCUGGUGGCCAUUUGAAGAGAUGGGAGGAUCUGAAAGAUAGAGCCAACAGUCACUAGCUGUAAGUCCAGAAAGUAAACCUAGAGGGGAAAUGGCUUUGGCACUUGGCACGUUUUCCUAUGAAGUAUCUUGUGCUAUAACAUGGAUUUACUGUUAAUACGUGGAUCUGUCUGACAUGCACAGAGAUCUGGGGACUGUUUGGAUUUAGGUUGGUGUGUGUGAGCACUGACUUGGCUCCCAUGUGUUUGUUUGCUGGUUGCAGUUGCAGGCACGUGUUUGCGGUGCGUUGCUGUGGGUUGAACAGCUGUAGCUGAUGAAUGAAUUUUAGCUGAGCCUUUCACAAAAUGUGCUCUGUCCAGCUGUUGGCUGUUGCAGCAGCCUGUCCUUGGUCACAGCACCCAUACCACAGUGUUAGCUGAAUGCAGGUUGUUCCACAUACUAGAUGUGCAUCUCAUCCCACAUCUGGUUUUCACCAUGAAGAGGUAGAGAAGCAGUCAUACCCAGAGCUUGCAUGCUCAGCAAAGAGCUCUGCAGAGAUGUGGGUUUGGCACUGGUGCAUCCUGCCGGCUUCUUGCAGCUGUGUGUAGAGAGGACAGCUCUGUUCCAGAAGCUGUGCCCAUGGACAUGCUACAUCUGAGCUGUUAUCUUGGAGGGGCUGAGGAGCAGUCAGUCCAUUAUUUAUCGUCGUGCUUCUUUUUCUCUGCAUGAAUGAUGUCAUGCCAAGCAUAUAACGAAUCUGUCCAUCCUGUUGGCUUAGGCAGAAAUAGAAACAAUACAAAACCUGUCCUAGCUGAGGCUUGCCCCCUGCAAUGAGUAAGACCUCCUUACCCCACCUGUGACGAAUCUUCCCCCCACCCCUGCCCUGUACUUGAUGGGGAUAGGAACGCAUCUCUUCCUUCCUGGGCGUCUCUUCAGAUGGAAGUGCUGCUCUUUUGGUAACUGACACCAGUUAGCUGGCUGUGGGACAGAGCCAGGCCUUGAAGGUAAUGAAAGGAUCCCAGUUUCACCUGCUAAAGCGUUUCCUUUGGCACUGUCAGAACUGCAUGGGUGCAUUUAUGCAUUUUUCCUUCCUCUCUAACAACAGCUGAAUUAUGAAUUUGAAACACUUUCAACAUUCACCUUUGCACGGCAGUGACUUUAAGCAGGGUAAGUGCCCUACUUACUUCUGUCUUUAUGCUGAUUUAUGACAAAGCGCGUUUCUGUUUGGCAUAACUGAGGACUUGAAGAUCAAAUGCAUAAAUUCAAGACACCUUUGCAGCUGCUCUGAAACUUUGUAAUUGCAGUUGCUCCGACUCUGAGCUAAAAUCAUUAUUUCUUCUCACAGGAGUUAAAGAAGCUUUGCUAGUGGAAAAAACCUUGAGCAAAGCAAUAUAAUUGGUUUGGCAGCCUGGGGUCUGUUAUUUAGCAAGCCUUCCCAGUAAUGCUUUAUCUACAGGAUAGAUCCCGAAUGAGAAAUGAAUAAUCCUUUGUGUAAACACAAACAGAUACUGCGUUAUCACUGAGUGCAGCUAUUCUCAUUUAGUGUGUUGCGUCUGAAAUCCAGAAUGGAAGAUGAAAGCAGCAGAUAAAGCUGAGCGUUACCAGCAGCUUAUGACUAAAAACGUUAACCGCGCACCGUAAUAGUCAAGGAAGGACUGUAAAUAAUAAGGGUAUAAAGAGGUAAAGAUUAAGGUAAAAAGAAAGUAGAAACAAGGGACCUGGUACUAACAUCAGGAACAUGCAGUGCUGCUGCACUGUGCUUCUAAAUAUCUCCCUUUGUGUGCGCAUGGCCCAGACAGAUAUGCAGCAAAGAGCUGCUGGGACUGCUGCUGCGAGAUGGUGCUCGAGGGCUCAAAAAUCUGUGGGGGGCAGGAGGGGAAGCAUUGUGAUGCUGUUGUAGAUGAGGAUUUAUGGCUGGAAGCUGAGCUUAGCUUUGAGAAUACUUGAGUUGUUAGCGCUGGUGUCCAGCUGUGUCCAGUGGCUUAGUAUCCAGCUGGGUGAGUUGGGUGGUCUGGGGAGGGAUGGUUUUACCUGAGGUGUGGUGGGGAUGGAGGUUUGACCCUUGAUGGGUAUGCUUCUGGUGGGCCUUGAUGGGUGAAUUCAGUCUUCCAGGUAGUCUUCCAGUCUUCCAAACAUCUCAAGCUUAGCCAUCUCUCAGAACUUUCCGUAGGUGUGUUGGUAAAAGCAAAUGACAGCAGGUUCUCCUUCGCAGUAACCAGUAAUCAAUGGAGCUGUAGAUCAGACACAUGGCAGUUAUGGCACGCAGACUGCUUGGAGUAAUUGCAUUGUGUUUUUCCCAGUUCCUUUGAAGUAGUUCUUUACCUUUAGUGUAAUGUUAUGUCACUGGAAGAAAGGGUAUAUUUUAUUAUAUUUUUUAACUUAAAAAUCAAUAUUGUAGCACUCAGGUUAUUUUUUUUUGCCUUCAAAAUACUGGUAGGACUAAACACUUUGCAGGUCAAUGCAUGGACAACAACUGCUGCUUUCAUUUUGCUAAGGAAUGGAACUAAGAAAAGCUACUUUACAUUCAGGAUAUUUCAAAGGAUGAGUUUCAUGCAUUUGUGGUAUUUCUUCCUGAAUUGAACGUUGGUGUGAAUACAAGAGAGGUUGUAGAUUAGAUAUUCAGUAUAAUUAUUGAAUUAAAGAAUGUUACUUUAAUUUUUUGGAAGAACUUGAAUAUUUGUACUUAUUUGUUUGCCAGAUAGAUAUACAAUCAUUGCAUUAAAAGUGAAUGUUGGAGAAUGGAAAGAGAAAACAAAAGUAGAAAAUUGAGCUACUGCCUGUAUCUUGAUCGUGGUUGGUUUCUGCUGCUGGAAGCAUACUUGAAGCCCACCUCCAAUUUCUGAAUUAAAGUAAAAAAGAAAUGACACGGUAAGAAAACUCUCAGCAGAAGUUCUAUGUUUGUCUUUUGCUCCAUAUUCUUGCUAAGAACUGGAUGCUCCAGUAUCCUUAAAUCAGGAUGGAGGGAAAGGGACGAGUACGUAUUUUGGAUGAAACUCCUAGCAGCUCUUGUUUAUGGAAUAGUUGUGUCAAAAAUACAAACUUCAUUAUCAGUAACGAUAAUUGCUGAAAAUUGCUUGCUCUCAAAAUAACUAUUACCACUUGGCUUGAAAUCUAUUGGCAAAUAUCUCUAGCUACUUAAGAUCAAAAUAGCGCUUAAUGGGUUUAAGUAAUCGAUAGUCUCAAAGACUUCUGAAGAUCUUAGCCCAUAAAAUAUUCAUAGUUUAUGUUUGUCUUUUAAGAAUCUGCUCAGAUUGUUAACACAUUGCAAAGUGCUAAGUUUGCAAAGUGCUUCUAUUAAACGAUGUUAAGAUGCUUACAACAAGUACAACAUGUUUGUUUUAUGUAUCGAUGUAAAUAAAUGCUAUUUCCAUUCUCUUGAAGUAUGUAGUUACUUUGAAGCUCAAUAUAGAGUGUGAUUUGCUGACAGACUCAUUUUAUUGAAGGAUGGAAAGCACACCUUUUUGAGUCUUUACAUUUGCAAUCACGUAAUUAUUUCUCACCUAAAAUUUGCUUGGGCACGUGACACUUGUUAGGUGGUUGAGGUGCUGUGAAAUGCAUUAGUGGGACUGCAGAUUGAUGGACGGUGGGUAUGUUUCUGAAACAGCCCAGCAGCUCUCUGUUAUUAACUUGUUUCACCUGCCCAGCAUUUCAGUAGAAGAGGAAUUUGAGGUGAAGCGUGCCUGCUCCUUAGAUGCCCGAAAAGAGAGGGCUGCACUAUGGGACCGUGGUGCUAAUACAGCAACUUUGAUAGAAUGGUAGAAUCAUUAAGGCUGGAAAGGUAGAAUCAUUAAGGCUCUAAGAUCCCCGAGUCCAACCCCAGCCCCACCAUCCCACUGACCAUGUCCCUCAGUGCUGCAUCCCCACAGUUCCUGGAGACCUCCAAAGAUGGUGACUGCCUCACCUCCUUGGGCAGCAGUGCCAGAAAUGUUUUCUGAUAUCCAGCCUGAGCCUUUGUUGCUGGCAGGCAACUGACAGAGUUUGACUCUGCAGCUCUUCAGUUAUGGCUAUUGGGAAUGGUAAUGAUCUGCUGCAGUUGCUGCGUUUGCUGUAUUUUGUAGUCCCCGUUCUUCCUUUUCCUCCCAUUUUGGUUAGUGCUCUUCUAAUUUUAACGUUGUAACUUCCUGUCCUUCAGAAAAGUGCUGUGCCUGAGUAGCCCAGGGAUAAGUUCCCUUCUGGCUGCAGAAGAGCAAGGGCAGCCCGGGCAGACGAGGGAGGGCUCGUGUCCAGGAGUAUCAUUCUUGGUUUUAAGUACACAGCUUUGGUUCUGGCCCCAAGUAUUGACAUCAGCGCUGCAGGGCAGUAUGAAAGGCAUUAUAUAUUCAAAGGAACAGCUUUUUUUGCUUUUGUUGGCCUUCUCCCUGAAGAGUAAUACAUUUAUAAAAUGCUAUUCUUGACUACAUCCUAAGCUGGUAUUAAGUUUCUAGGCACAAUAAAAAUAGUCAAUAAACUCUUUGCUUUAAACUUUCCUGCUGUGCUUUCUGGGAAGGGAAGUGCAGGGUUCUUGUGGUAGGUGGGUUUGUCUCCUUCCUGUGCUGAGCUGGUGUUGUUUUUGCCUCAGAUGAGCUGGGCCAGUCCCUGCUGUAGCCAACUGGAAAAAUCUGCAUUACAUUUCUACAGCAACUAGGCCCUUAUAGUGCUGGCUUGCAGCUGGAGCACUCGUGAUAAACAUAACAAUGGCUUUAAAAAAAUUGCUGGUGACUUGUCUUUAAGCCUGUAUGAAUACCUGAUGUGAGAGUGUUCUGAAAUUCAUUGUAUGUUUUUGAAAAUGUAGUAGAUGUACGGGGUUAGUACAGAAGAAUGGGCAAAAAUUAACUACAGCAAGGAGCCUUUUACGAUGUGAUUGUGGACUGGUAUGUAUUCAGGCUUACUUGUCCUUUGAAAAGGCAGAACCAUAAAGGUGAGGAACGGGGGGAAACAGAGCUUGACUUUGUCAGGGGUGUGCUUGAGUCUUGGCUUGGUUGCCUUACAGCUGUGCUCUUGGAUCAAUGAACACAAACGCUUCAAAGUGACCUUUCAGCACCCCGUGCCCAGUAAAUGGGGCUGGCUGCACCUUGCUCAAGUCUUCAUUGUCUGCCGGAGACGGAACAUCAUAAGGGUGUUUUUGUUCUUUAUUUUCUACGUGCAUAAACAUUCAAGGGGAAAUUGCUAUUGAUUGAGAGAGCAAGAUCCUUCUAUCUGGUCAGCUUUCUGCAUUACUUUAACAGCUAUUUUAGUCAUACAGGCGGUUCUGGUUUAAUAGCUUCCCUGUCUUCAUCCUCUGUACAGUAAAUGAAAGUGAUUAUGAUAUUUUUGGUUCGUUGGUACUCAAGUGCUUUCAAGGUGGAACUGACGGCUUGGGAGAAUAAAAUAAAUCCACAGCUCUGGAUGGACAUGGAGUGUUGUAAGACCUUUGCUUGGAGCAUAUGAUAUGGAAAUGCUCCUGAUCUGGAUGGUUUAAGCAUACCAAUGGUCAGAAAGUCAGUAUCUGUGCAAAAAAAAAAAAAAAAAAAGGAAAACAAAAAAGUGAUGAAGUGACUUGUGUAUUUUGGGAGCUCCUGUCUUUCAAGUGUCACCUACAUACAGGUAGAUUUUUUUUUUCCUGGUGGCAGAUUGGUCCUGCUAUCCAAAAGGCUCAUUAAGCUUUAUUUUCCUUCUUUGGCAAUUGCAUGUUGAAUGGCACUUGAAUAGGAAAGCUGAGAGGCUGUCCCAUCCAUCCCUUGAGCAUGGUGGAUUGUCAGUGGUAGUCUGAUGUUGGAAACCAUCAUUCCUUGGCCAUGCAGCAGUAAUUAUGCAAAGCAGUGUGAUUAGCUUGUUGGGAGGCCUCCUGGGCAGGGUGCUGCCGGAGGCUGGGAGCUGUGCUGGGAGGUACUGGAGGACAAAGGCUGGGAAGGGUGUAUUGCUUGGCUGAAUUGCUGCUUGAUGUCCUACAUGCAUGUUACAGAAGUGAAAUAGAUUAAAUAAAGCUAAUAGAUUUCCUUCCUUGUGUAUUCCCUUGUUUCUGACUGCAGAGAAAACAUCUUUUUUUGGCAUGUCAUAGUAAGCACUGCAAUCACGCCACAAGCAGUUUUUUAAUUAAAGUUACGAAAUGAAAUGCUUCUGCCUUCCUAUUUUGAGAUCUCUUCCUUCCUAGCUGUUCUGACUUACCUGUACAGUGCUGUCUAAUGCUUAGCAUCACCUUAAUCUUAGCUCAUCUGCUGCAAAAAUCCUGUUGUCUAUUGGGAGGCUCUGUGCAGAAGGCUUACAUUCGAUGUCUCACUAAAUAUUUAACAUUUAGUCUCGGUGGUUUAGCUGGAUAACUGUACAUACCCAAUUUUGUCUCCAUUCUGUAUUAUUUUUAACCACCCAAGCUUUCCUUGAUAGUGCUGCGUAUUUCACUUACACUGCUUUUCUUCGUGCAUUUUCUGAUGCAGAUGCAUAGGCAGUUGCUUGAGUCUCUGCUCUGCUGUCAAAUCCUUCUGCUAGCCUGUCUGGCUGAUGAGAAUUUACAUCAGGCUCCUUCAGUGUUUGUAAAUAGCCUUGAUGUAAGUCAUGUCACAGGAAAAAUAACAAAAAAAGAUCCUGUAUCGAGUGCGGUCCUGAUAAGAUUGGUACAUCCCUACAUCAGUGUAAUUUAGAGAAAUAGCUCUUGUGAAUAGAAUUUCAACUAAACAUCCCCAUGGAAAAAGGGUAGUUAAAUUAAAGUGCUGUUUAAAAGGGAAUAGCACAGAAGGCAUAGAAUAUGAAUGGAAUACUGUAACGGAAAACGAAGCUAAUUGUGGGGAGCGCAGUGUAAGCGAUAAGGUUCUGCUUUGGUUUUGUCCCUACCUGUGUGUUUGAAUUGUAUUCAAAACUUCAGUUUUACCUCAUGUGAACUUGAUGCCAAGAUAAAUAACACCACGUCUGUGUAAAUGUCAGAAGUCAGUUUGACCAUAAAGGUUAAUCUUAAGAACUGUUACAGUGCAAGGUGAGGAGGAAAAAUAGUGUCUACACAAAGCAUUGGUAAAACUGCAGAGUCCUUAAUUCUGGUAUUUUGUUUCUUCUUUUUUUCACUUUUUUACUUGGAUGUUCUCAUCUAUGCAGAGAGGUGCCAUGAAUCCUUUGGGCUGUGAAAUAAACCUUUUUGCUGUACCUUAAACAAAGCGUGAUUUCUCUCCCCCCAUUUUAACACCAGGUAAUUGACAGGUCCCAGAUUUGCCUAGGUGGGUUGGGAGCUGUGUGAGAUGGGGACCUCUGAGAACAACCUGUGGAGAACAUCUGCAGUGAGAGCAAACGUCCUUCGUGCCUGCUGUGAUGGACAGUUUGCGGCUGAACAUCGCAUACAUGAGCAAGGAUGGAUGUGGCUGAGAGCUGCUGUGAUGUGUGUGCCACCCAGCCAGCUCUGCUUUGUUCUUCUCCAACCCUGGUCACUGCUGCUUGCUAAUUGCAAUUGGUUCCAAAACGUUAAAAGGCCUAAAAAACACCUCUAGCAGAAGAGCUAUGAACUUGAGGCUUGAACACAUCACCUUCAGAUGGGGGUUUCUUUCUUACCACCUGGAUGAUGUUUGGCUUUGUCAUCCUCGUCCCUCAACUAGGCGUGCUCAAGGCUUUAGAAUUAAUAGUGUAUUGAGCUAGCUUUCCAUACGAUGGCCAAUGGGAAACACAGCAUCUCAGCUGGAUGUGAAUAUUUCAGCAAAUACCAAUUUAAGGCACUCCAGGAAUCUUUUGAUAUCCUGCCAGUUCAAAACAUUUUUAUCUAAUCUGCUUUAAAAGGAGCAGUUUCUUAACAUAAUGAUUUUUUUUCUUAAUAGAAAAUCUAGGUAGAAACACGUGUGCAGGGACUCCUUGCUGUCCUUUGACUCUGUUAUUGAUUUAUUUAUCAACGGAAUGCAUCCAGCACAUCCUGUCUUUGCUUCUGUGUCAUGUUUGUGUACUCCCAUCUCUUCCUGGCUUUGUACCACCAUCAACACCCUUUGCUUGGAAGGCUGGCCAUGUUAGUGCCAGUCUCAGCCUGAACCUCCAUGAGGUUACAUCUGUGACAGCCAGGUGUUUGCAGAGGAGAAGGCAAUGGCUACGUAUGUAGCAGCAUGUCAUUCUUUAGAUGUAAACUCACAGCUUGGGUGCACUGGGGAAAUGGCUCUUUGCAGCAAGCUGAGACAAGGUGCCAGCAGGACCCAGGCUGCCAGCAGCAAGCUCUGACUGCUUUCACAAAUGGGAAUCAGGUUUGAGAAUCCAGGUCUGCUCUGUUGGUCUGAAGGAUCCCAAAAGCUUUAAUUGUCAAAGGCAAGAGUGAGUAGUGAGGCUGACAAGCAAAUGGCAGCUGGCAUCUUGCAGAAUGGCAUUGACAGCUUGCAGUAUCCAUCUCCUUAGUUCUGUUUGGACACUUCCUUGGUUUCCCUGGCGAGGAACAGAGAUGUGGCUGCAGAGGAUGUUUCUAAUCAUCAGCUUCCUGGAGUUGUUCACGCCAUGCCAUGCAGAGUGUAAAAUCUGAGUGGUAGCAUCUUAUUGCCCUGAGGACAAAUAGGUGAUGAAGGAGCUGACGCUUGAUUGCCAUGUAUGUGUCCUGUUAAGCUUGAGGAAUUGGUUUCUCCCCUCAAGCCGGGGGCCUUCUGGGGUCCCAGCACAUCCUCCACUGAGGCUGUGGAGGUGGCUGGUAUUUAAACACCCCAAAACAGUCUCUGAUGUUCUGUCCUGCUGUGAUGUAUAUGCUUUCUAGAAGCCAGUCCUGAAUCAUUUUUAGGCUUCAUGGAAUAUAUAUUUGAAAGAACACGUCACUUAACUCCUUAGAGCUGUCACGUGAACUUCCUGUCCUAAUCCGAUGCAAGAAACAGGAGGUGGGAAACGAGAUGGGGGUGUGUGUGAUGAGUUGUGCUCCUGUCCUGUAGCUCCUUAAUGCAUCGUUUAUUUUUGGGAAUCCAGCAGUGUUUCUGAGUUGCAUGGUUUUCCCAAACGGGAGGCUUAGCAGAGAGCGUGGGAGCAGAGGUAUCUGCUAGGCCACAGCUGCUGCUCCAGGUAAUCUGGAAUGCUCUAACCCAGCUCUCCCAAAACAGUGCAGCAGUUUUCACUUCAUCAUCUCCAUGAUGAGUGCUGGGAGGGCAUUCUGGAAUGUAGUUUAGAGAGAAAUAAGAUGUAUUGAACGUACUGGGUGUGCUGCAGCUCAAGCUUCAUUCAGUCACUUCUGCCUUUUUCUCCUUUGUUUACUUGAACUUUUCUCUUUCAGAUUUUUUAUAAAUGAAGAUGAUUCAAUCAUGAAAAGUCCCGAGGCUUGUGAAAUCAGUUUUUCCAGAUCCAGGAUUUUGGAGCUUUGGGCAAAUAUGCUUUUCCUCCAGUUGGAUAGCUUGUAUGAGAACCUCCCAUGCCUUUCCUUUGUUGUGAUUUAAUAGAUUUGGGAGUUUAGAAUCGGAUUUUAAGAGGAAAAUCAAAUACUACCUUUAAUAAAGCCAUCAGCUUUGGGGAGAAAUUGUGUGUGCUAAAUGUCAUGGAGCUCACUGUCGUGUGAAUGCAAUACCGGUGUAAAUGAGCGCUAUCUCGGUGUGAAAUUGAACCUUUCCUUUUGGCCUAUUUAUGCUUUUUUUUUUCCAGCAAAAUUCCUGUCUGAGCUAGGGCUGCUGCUGUAUGACAGAGUAGCGGCUGGGAGGAUGCAGGCAGCUGACAUAACUUAUGCCAAUCUAGGUUCCCAGGGGAUAAAUGCUCAGCUGGUGUGAAUUACCACAGCUUCGUUAGAGCAGUGAGUGCUGUCAGGCUGUCCCCAUCUGAUGGUCCAGCUCGGUGGCUCAGCCCUCGUGUGCACGGACAACACACUCAGUGUGGCCCUUUCAGGCUCCUCGGGCCUCUACAGCCCCAGAAAGGGCAUUGCGAGGACUUACUUGGAUUGCAUGGCAACAAGGCAGAGCAGUGAGAUGCUGCAUUGCCUCUUCUGGAAGUUCACGUGUGCCCUCUGCACUGUGUUCCGUGCUGCUCAAGGAGGAGCGGGCCGAGAUCUAAUCCAGCUGGAGCUUACACGCCUAGGUGAAGCGUUCCCCCACGGAGGACGGGCUGAGGGCUCACCCACAGAGCUUUCCCAUUUCUCCUGGAAGCAGAGGGAGCCGGAGAGGCGCGGCGUGCUCCGCUGUGAUAGCGUAAUGCUCUUACGGAGCUAUUUGUAUCGCAAGCUGCUUUUGCAGGCUAAUUAGACGUGCAGAAUUUGCAGAUUUUGCCUUAUUCAGCUUUUAAUUAACUCUGUGUAAUAAGCUGUAAGCACGUUAAUACCAACAAAAUACUCGGUAUUGUAUUGGUUAAUAUUCAGAUGAUAAAGCCUGAAGUAUUGUUUUCACACAAAGGCGGCUCAAGCUACAAAUAAUGGGAAUCUCUUUUAUGAAAUUGGAACACACGUUUGGAAUAAUCCUGCGUUUUCAACAGCAGAUCUCCAAUAAUAAGCCUGUAACCCAAGGUCGUCGUGUGAAGUGUUUUAAUAUUGCAUGCGUAUUCCUAAGUUUAUAUUUUUAAAAAUUGAUAGAUUCAUUUGCAUUCCCGAGCUUGGACAGAUGGUGUGAUCUGUAACAAAAUACUCCGCAGAAUACUAAAGAGGAUCAUUUCGGCACCUAUCCCUCUAAGCCCAUUGCAUCCAAAGAGCGAGGGGGAGCUUUCAAGAUGAAGGAUGCUCAGACAGACCUUCCAAAGGCCGCAGUGCUGCCUGGCAUCCGCAGGCACCGGGCAGCUGGGAGAGCUGGCUGCAGGAUGGCUCCCGGAGGAGGUGGGUCCUCCUCCACCAGCAGCUGCAGCCUGGGGGCAGUCUGUGCCGUGCAUGGUUGGAAAGCACCAGCUGAAAUGGAGCCCGCUCCUUCUUCUGUUGGAAAGCCUUUCCAUGUGAGCUCCUGUCCUGCCACCAGAGCUCCCGAGCCACCCGUGUGUACUGAACUCAUGGCAGAAGAACGUUGUAAGGGUCCUGCUUUCCUGUCUUUCACUUCGAAGAAAAACCUUUGUAAAAAGCCCUACUAAUUACAUUUUUAUAUUCACUGCUCAACUUGCUCUAGCGUGGCUUGGUGCUUUUUUUGCCAUCUGGAGACAAUGGAGUAAGUCACAAUGUGGAGCUGGGCUCCUUGACCUCUGUUCUGUGUUGUGUGUGUUAGGCCCCCCCUUGGCUGUGGAGUCUGGACAGAAACUGAUGGUUGGAGGAUUUCUGAAGAAAGUUCUUUGCAGAGGACAAUUAUUUUCUAAUAAUUUGGACUUAUUUUAGUAAUAGUACCACUGGAAUUCUACUAAAGAGGACAUAUGUGGUUGCAAAUUAGAGGGGAAAAAAACGGUUUCAGACACUGCCAAUUGAGCAAAGCUGCAAUAUGUUCUGAAAGUCAAGCUGUGUUUUCUCAUUUUUGCACAUCAUAACCAGUAAUAAAAGUCUUUGGGGCUAAAUUAGGUUCUCUGUUUCACUUCUGAAACCUCAAUUGCUUUUCCAUUGUCAGCAGCAGCACUGGUGCAAAGCAACCUACAGACAAUAAGAAUUCAGCAAAGCUUAGUGCAGAGAUAAUUACAGAAUCGCUUGGAGAGGUCCCAGCUGGUACAGCAGCAUUCUGUGGGAGUCUUUUUCUCCCAAAAUGUAAUAUAUGCCUCUCAGUGUAUUGCAAGCAGCAAAGAAAGGAGCUUUAACAUCUCAAGGUGUUGUCUCGAAGAAGUGGGUGCUUACUUUUAAGGUAUAAAUCAGCUCUGGAGAACUGUGUGCUGACCCUCAUGCAGACUUUUGUAACGGUGGUUUUCUUUCCCAAGGAGCAGAAGGUCAGUGCCCCCACAUUUGUGUUGUGCUUCUACCUGGGGAGGUCUGGAGCUGUGCAGUUUCCACUCCAGCUCUGUGUUUCUGCUGUUACCAAAUGAUGCUGCAGCAAACCUCCUUGUGUCGUGUAUGGUGCCAGGCUGCCCGUAGGGAAUGCCGGAGAUGGAGCCCUCCAGGGCGGGUGCUGCACUGUCAGUGCAGAGAGAUAAAAGUCAGGGGAGCUUGGUGUUUUUGGAGAAGUCAUUCUAGCUGAAGGUGAAGGCUGCUGCACUUGGGGGCCUUUUGGGUCGUACAGUUAUGUGAUCAUUUAGUGGAGUCCUUGCUUCAGUCCUGUAGCUACCAGCACUGGGAUUUCUCAGUGUUAGGUUGAAGUCAGAAAUGUUCUACUUCGUUAGAAAGGCAGUGCCUGAUACAGGAAUAAAUACAGGAUUGCAUUAUCACAGAAGUUAUUAACCUAUCAAUUUUGCUUGCCUGGAUAAAUGCUAAUGGAGAUAAAACUGUCUGCAGCUUUGAGCAGAAAUCUGGAGGGCUGGGAGAUGAUUGUUGUACAGAUGUACCACUGUGGAGUAAUAAUAAGAUUAAAAAAAGCAUUUGGGCUGGAAAUGUGGAGAAACAGCCUUUUCCUUGCAGGAGCGUGGGGGUGCCUAGUGACACAGAAGCUGUCAGUAAUGCAGACCAGCAGUUUGGGAUUAUAUUUGUAAAGCAGUUUGAUGUGCAGGGAGUGGUGGGUGACGCUUGAUGUUUGGAUGAUAUGACUUUGGAGUCUUAAUUCCAUUCCUGAGGCUGGGGCACUGCAGAGGUUUCAGGACUCAGUGCAGCUGUAUCCUGGAGCUGUAUCCUCCUGCCUGAUGAGGAGGUCAUAGUCCUUGGGUUUUAGCAAGCGUGUGCUUUAUAUUGUUCUUGCACGCUCCAGUAGUGAACGGGAGGCUCAGGCACUCAGCUAUUCCAAAGAUUCCUGGUUGUAUGCUUUAAUAUUUGGAUGAAGUGCUUUGGCAACCGGAGCUCUGAAGUCAGCAGUAGGUACUGAUUUAUUAUCCCAGUGUUGUCAGUUGGCUGUAUGCAUGAAUGUAAAGGUCCAUCUUACCCUUGCUGUGCAAAGACCGACAUCACAAGAGCUGUCCCAGGGUACUCAGUUCCAUAUGGCUGCUGCUCCAACUGGGGCUUGUCAACGCUUCUCACAUGCAUGGAACUAGAGGCCUGUCUUGAUCCUUGAUGCAUAGGAACUGCAGUGAAGUCUGAGGCACUCAGGAUUUGUUUCGAGGGUUCCCGUACUAUUUGUCAAAUGGUUUGCUCUCCCAUACAGCACCCUUCUGUGUGCACGCCGUAAUGCCAGCUUCAUGCUGGGAUCAAUUUCUGGAUGGAAGCAAUGCAGCUGUGUUCUGAGCCCAAGGCUGCAGUUAGGCUGAGUUGGGUUUCUGUAGCGUGUCUGGUGCCAAGCACUGCCUUUCAGGACUUCAGUGCCCAAAGCUCAGAGCAGAAAGUACAGCUGACUGUAAAACUGUUUUAGAAAUAUGGUGUCAUCUCAAAUGUAAGGACAGAAACAGACAUCAGUCCUGUUCUUUAAACUAGGUUGUUGCAUCAAGCUUUUGGACCGUUUAGUUCAUUAAUCCUUUGCUCAGUGAACCCAUUGAUUAAUCCUUUCUUUGCUAAGCUCAGUUUAGCUGCUGAAGCCAUAACGAUGUUUGCGUGAAAUAAAGAUAUCUAUGUUUUUCUUUUGCACCUGUUGUUUUCAGUUGAUGUAAGAAAAGGGAGAGCUCCAUCUGUCCAAGAGCACUUGUUCAGCGGUACGGAUGCACUCAGGGUGCCUGGCUCCCUGCCUGGCUCCUGCUGCUCCUCCUCCUUUUCCUAAUGUCCAACCUGAAUCUCCCCUGGCACAACUUGAGGCCAUUCCCUAAUUCCGUAGUGCCAUGUCUGUGGAGUAGUACAUUGCUUAUCAUGUUUAUUGCCAAAAGAGAAGAUGCAUUUUUCUCUGCUGCUUGUACCUGUUUGAUGCUGAUACAGUCUGUCUCCGGGCUUUGACACGAUUCUGGCUCAUGAUGUAAAACAGCAUAUUGACUAUUACUUUCUGCUUGGUAGUAGCAAUCUGAUACGCAUUUGGUAGUAGAAUUCCAGAUUAACAUAUUGAACAGCAUUUAAUUUGAAAGCCCAUCUAGGUCAUCUGUUAUCUGCUGCUGACACUCGCAUCAAUGUUUUGUUUGGUCCCUUUGACAGCAGCGAUGGCAGCUCCGGAGGGCCACGGUGGGCAGAGGUUUUGGUGUUUCCUUCUGCCAUUCAGGGAAAUCAUCAGCCCCGUGAUGAGGAGAGGGGGCUGGCACAGUGCUGGCUCUUCUGAAGCCUGUGACAGUGCCACCGUGGAGCCCUAAUUUCAUUUACUGAGCUCGACUGUGGCUAAGACGACACCAGCUUAUUAGCAGAAGGUGUUAUUACAGCAAUAAUAACCUGGUGGUUUUGCCAGUGAAUGUACUGGGAUUAGUACUUGAUGUGAAGAGGGGCAUCGUGUUAACAUAGCAUUAUGAAGUCAUGGCUGAACUCACAGUUUUCUCUCCUGAAGGGAAAGAGGCAGUUCUCCUAAAGAAGAACACGGGUGAAAACAUGGAACUCCCACCCAAGUUAAUGAAGAUUAAUUAUGCUGUCCCACUAUGAUUGGGAAACAAGAAUGCUGUGUGUAUGGCCUGAGAAGCAAGGGAUGCUCAUUGCCCUGGAAAGCAUGCCAGGGUCAAAAAUCAAUGUUAACAAAUUGCCAAUUGAUUUAAUACAUCUACCAGUCAGACAAAUCGGGAUCUUUAACUAGUAAUUAGUGACCUUUAUCUGGAGGAAAACAUUUAAGAGAAUAUAAAAUAUUUUUGUGCCUGCCAGAUGCAGGCUGCGCUUUUCCUUUUCUAUAUGGUAAGCAGAACUCGCUUCUGCCCUUGAUCAGUGAUACAGAAAACACAAUUGUGCUAAGAUGCCUUCAAAGGAACUGGGAUAUAUGCAGGAUUUGAGUAAGCACUGUGUUCUCUGCAAAAUAAAUGGUGAGAAAGAAGAGAUGCUCACAGCCACAUAAGGCACGCCAAGGUCAAAAAUGAGAUCCAAAUUAGACUUGCAGCGCAUGGAGACUGAGGAGAGCAGUUAUUUCAGAUUGAUUCUGGUUACUAAAUACUAGGGGAAAUAAACAUCAACCAAAAUAAGAUGAAUACCUACAGCAACACCCUGAGGGUGAUUUACCAGCCCUUUGAGGCUGCUGGCAGCCUCCCCUGGGAAGAGCAGGUGGCCCUGUGUGCAGGUGCAUUAGGGAGAGAGCCCUUGCCAGUCAUCCCCAGCUCCAGGUGUCUUCUUGAUGUUUGGGGAGGCAAUCACAGUAAGUACUGUAACUGUUCCUUAGUAAAUAUUGUCAUCAGUCUGGAAGUAGCCCUGCAGGUUCCUUGAGUGUUAACCACGGUACUUCUGUUCCUUGGAGAGAUCUGAAGGAUGCCUAAAACACACUCUCUGAAGCUUGCAGGAAAAAAAUGAAGCAUAAUUUGAAUAACUUGAAUUCACUAUAAUUCACUGUAAAGGUGUUUUUGCUCUGACCACGUAAAAACCUUGUGGUGCUUAAUCCCAAGACUGUUCUGGUGCUAGUGCUCCAUGAUUGCUGCACCUUCCUGGAGCAAACCUUUCAGGCUCUUGGAGUCCGUGGAAUGCAACCCCAGGGUUGUCAGAAGAAAGGUAAGGAAUACAUCCCGUCAUUCUUACCAUUUGUCUAUCUUACAUAGCUGUUUCUUUUGUUUAGUUUGAUAAAAGCGAAAAUCCCAUGGAACAAUUUAAUGUCCUCUACAGUAUUAACAAUGUAUGUGCUUUUCCGCCCUGGGUUUCCUGAUGAUGAAACUUAGUUCUCUACAAUACUCAAAGCAGGAAUUGAGAACUUUCAGCUCUUGUGUUGGAACAGAUGACAGCAGACACUUUGUCCACCUGGCUUUCAUGGGGUCAUAGGAUGGCUUGGGUGGGAAGGGACCUUCAGGAUCAUCGACUUCCAACUAGUUUUCAGGGAGGAGUUUGGUGUACAGCUUGAAACAUUAUAUUUUACAACGUUUGAGAAGUAGGCAAUUUUUUUUUUUAACUGUUGAAACAAAAUAUGAAUCUUAUGAUAAUUGUAGUGGCUGGAGGCGUUCCAGCUUCACAUUUCUGCUUUGUAUGCCUCUUUGUAUGUAAAUACUCGUGUCUGCUCUUUUGGUUGCAUGUAGUGUGGUUUGCUGGGCCAGUAAAAGGCCUUCUCAAGUAAUGUCACUCUGUGUCUGCAUGUUCACUUUGGGUAUUUUUGGUGGGCUGGAAGGUCCUAACUGCAAGCUGGAUGUCUGGUUUGAUGGUUUACUCAGAAGUGAGGAGUGUUUCACACUUACUGUUGUGUUCCUUUCCAGGACCUUUCCAGCAGUCAGCUGAGACACUUUCCCUGCCCGUACAAACCCACGAACUUACUGACAGAGGGCACUAGGAGUAGUUAGCAAUGGGAAGUUUUCAGGCACAUGUGUUCCUGCACUAAGAUAGUGAUUUUUCUAGUGACUUUUCCUGCUUUUUGUUUUUGUUUUGUGCUUAUUUUCCCCUUUACCUGCAACAUGUGUGUCAGAAGUAGGCAGAAUUUUGCUAUCUAGCCCUUAUUUUCUGAGAGCCCUGUUUGAACCUACUUUUCCUGGACUCUGAUGUGAUCUUGAUGUGCCAAAUUCUUGUGUAGCUCCUAGUGAGGAGAUGUCAUCAUUUUGAGCAGCAGUGUUUUUUGCACGUGUUUCUGCUGACUCUUGCAGAUUACAGCCAGUUAUUGUAUUUGAUAGACAUCUCUGUUUUCAAUAGAAAUAAUAGCACACAAAGACUCGUUCUGAUUUCCUUCCCGGGAUCCUUGCUGCACUGCACGCUGCACUUAUCACUAGGUCAGCCUGACCAAUGUUGGGUGCCGUGCUCUGAGUGCAGUCUCUUGAUUUUCUUGUCGUUGUUGGCUAUGGGGUUACUUCCAUGGCUGAAUGUAACCCAUGAGAAAACAAAACGUCCACUUUGCUCCUUCUCCUUCACCUGUGAUGUGAUUUUGCUCUCUUCCUCCUGGCAAGGUAGAUUCUUGUUUUUCGCCUAAAUCUGUCUUGCAAAACACGAUGGUUGGGUAAGAUGCAAUUUUGCUUUAAUUAUGAUUAAAUUACUUUAUGAAUUAACCAGAGGAUCUCAUGAGACUGGAAUCUUUUGACACAUGAGAAAAUUGCCUUUCUUUAACAAGCUGCUUCAAGCAUGCAAGGUAAUAUUAGCAUUUUUCAGUUAUAGCUCCAGGGGAUUAAAUAAUAAGGCAAAGUAUUGUACCUACGAUUAUGUGGUGUGCAUGUGCGUGUAAUAGACUUAAAACCAAGCAGACACUGUAGAAAUCAGUUGAACUACUGAACCCGUGACGUUUUGCAGUGCAAGUGUGAGUAGGGAUUUUUCUUUACAAAAUUGCUUUUCAAGAUGCAUUUUUAAGCAAACCUGCAAAUACCUGAAAAAAAUUGUAUUUCAUGGACUUGAAAAGGAAAAAUGUCUUGGAAUACAUUUGGCAAAAAAGCAUCCUAAACUCGACUCACCUGUUUCAGUUUCAGAAUAACGACUCCAAUGCAACUUUAAAGGGACCAAAGUAUGAUUUUCAUGUAAGUUGCUUCUUGUUUGUUUGUUUGAGGAUGUAGCAAUUGUGGUGAAGUCACCAAUCUGAUGCAAGGAGGUGUACUGCACGAUCAAGCUUCUUGUUAAGGAAGUGAUAGUUCAUGGUAUCCAUACGUGUUAUAGUGUACCCAGUGCAUAUGAUGUUGUCUUCAAACAAUGAUAUUCCUUUGUCUCUAAAUGCCUGUUUCCAUAUGGGCUUGCACCUGCAUCAGUCACCUUGCUGGAUUCAGAGGGUUGCUCCUGGCUCGUGGCAUCAAAUCCAGUGAAGUGGAAAAUUGACAGUAAGGGAUUUAAGCUCCUGUUAUCAUGAGUGCAGUUACUGGGCUGUAGUUUUGGUGACAGAACUCAUGCGUGUUCUACACAAAUCCAUAAGGUAACGGCAUUUAGUGAGAUCUGUAGAAGUUGGGGCAGUCAUGGAGUGGUGUGAAAAGUGUCACAGCAUUCUUGCUCUGAAAGGCGGUGCAUGCACAAUCCAUACUUUACAGAUGAAUGAACGUGCAGUAGAAAAGGCAAGUAAUACGAUUUUAAGUCAGUGACACAAAUACAGCAUUUUCAUCUCUGGGUUUAUCUGAAAGACAAAACCAGGUACCUGGGAAAGAGCAAGCACAAGUAGUGUACAGAUGCUUUCAGUAGAGUGGAAACUUCUUUUGCAUGCACUUUUAGUGUUUUGUUUUAGCCUGAGCUGAAAUGUGCAGGAAGCAGUGCAAUGCAGCUGUGGUACCAUACCGUAACUCGCCUG